UCUCUCUCUCUCGGCGACUCAUGAACAGAUCUGUGAGGAUUUCAUAAGAUCUAGGGUGUUACUUUCAUUCGAUUUCAAAUCCAUGACCGGUGUUACUUUCAUUCGAUUUCAAAUCCAUGAACCCUUCCUGUGACGGUGUGGUGUGCAAAUGGUUGAAGAUGGAUCCCUAGCCGUCGCAUCUGGUGAAGAUGGUGGUGGUUAUUUUUUUAUCUAUUUAAACGAUUUGUUGAUUUGAACAGGUUUUCACCAUAGAUCUUCUUUGGGUUUUUUGUACAGGUUUCCCCUAAGAUGGUUGAAGAUGGAUUCCCAAGCCCUAACGAUGUCACAAUCAGAGCUCAUUGAUCAUGCCGAUUUGGACUUUUUAUCGGCACUUUUGGGUAUCUAGAUCCUGAGUACUCCAUGACCGGGCACUUAACUAGGAAAUCAGAUGUUUAAACAGCUCCAGAAAAAAGCGCUCGACAAUGGCUGAUGUUGUGGUUACUCUUCAGCAAUCAUUGGCAUUGCAGGAGCAAUUUGACAGUUCUGCGCAUGCUGCAGGUUCAACGGGGUUCACCUUUAAAAUGCAGUAUCUACUUUUCGGGCCUAGACAUAACUCUGUAGAAUAGUGGUAUAUGAUAGUCCAUUUAAGAAGCAUAGGAAGUUAACGAAGAUAAGCAUGAAGUGCAAGACACAUUUAUCUUACAAAAUAACCUUUUCUGUAAGUACAUGGAUGACAAA